rnacentral:rRNA from 1 species
UACGAACGCUGGCGGCGUGCCUAACACAUGCAAGUCGAACGAGUCCACCCUUCGGGGUGAGGCGAGUGGCGGACGGGUGAGUAACACGUGAGCAACCUGUCUCUGUGCGGGGGGACAACCCGGGGAAACCCGGGCUAAUACCGCAUGGGCGGGGUCUUCGAGUGGAGACCCCGGGAAAGACGGCCUCUUCACAAUGCUGUCGUGCAGAGAGGGGCUCGCGGGCUAUCAGCUAGCUGGUGAGGUAAUGGCUCACCUGGGCAGCGACGGCUACGGGGUCUGAGAGGACGACCCCGCACAUUGGAACUGAGACACGGUCCAGACUCCUACGGGAGGCAGCAGUGGGGAAUUUUGGGCAAUGGCCGAAAGGCUGACCCAGCGACGCCGCGUGCGGGAGGACGCCCCUCGGGGUGUAAACCGCUGUCAGGGGGGACGAACCCUUCAGAUGCGAACAGUGUCUGGAGCUGACGGUACCUCCAAAGGAAGCACCGGCUAACUCCGUGCCAGCAGCCGCGGUAAUAC